rnacentral:rRNA from 1 species
AGUGAACGCUGGCGGUAGGCCUAACACAUGCAAGUCGAACGGCAGCACAGUAAGAGCUUGCUCUUACGGGUGGCGAGUGGCGGACGGGUGAGGAAUACAUCGGAAUCUACUUUUUCGUGGGGGAUAACGUAGGGAAACUUACGCUAAUACCGCAUACGACCUACGGGUGAAAGCAGGGGAUCUUCGGACCUUGCGCGAUUGAAUGAGCCGAUGUCGGAUUAGCUAGUUGGCGGGGUAAAGGCCCACCAAGGCGACGAUCCGUAGCUGGUCUGAGAGGAUGAUACGCCACACUGGAACUGAGACACGGUCCAGACUCCUACGGGAGGCAGCAGUGGGGAAUAUUGGACAAUGGGCGCAAGCCUGAUCCAGCCAUACCGCGUGUGUGAAGAAGGCCUUCGGGUUGUAAAGCCCUUUUGUUGGGAAAGAAAAGCAGCAGGUUAAUACCCCGCUGUUCUGACGGUACCCAAAGAAUAAGCACCGGCUAACUUCGUG